rnacentral:lncRNA from 1 species
UUUCGACAUGACUCUUUGUUGGAUUAUUGUGCCAAUAUUAAUUGUUCACCUGAAAUGUAAGUACAGUAGCUACUAUUAACAUGCUCACUAUUCCUGUGACUUCGACACAACUUUUAAAAGACCCCCUUUGUUCUUUUCUAAUGUAGAAAAAAAACCUCUUUGUUGUAUUAAAGACAAAGAGGUAUGAUAUCCCGUUCAUAAAACAACUUUGGAAGGUCUUUUUAACCAAUGGACCAAGUCAGGAAUAUGACAGUUGUUCUAUCCAUUCGUUUAAUAUGUUUAAACUUUUGAUCUUGCCACUUGAUAAGAGACUUUCCCUUUAUAAUUUCCCUCGGUGUUGUUUUACUUGAUGCCCGACCGAGAGACCUAUAGGGUUUGUUUUGAUUAUUAAGUGUUUCCAGCUUAUCUUUUUUUUCGCCACAUUUUUUCAUUUCUUGCAUUGUUUUUUUGGAGGGGGAUUUGGAUGGGGUGUAGGGGAUUGGUCUCAAGAUUUAAAUGUUUACGCUCUGAAUGAUAAUGUGAAAAAAGGAAGCUGUUGACACUUUUUCUUCGCCUAAACGCGAACUUCCCCUUAAAUUGCUCGUUUCGUCUUCAGCAUGUAUAAAUUCUUACCUAAUCUAUUCGGGAUUCUACAUGAGACUUAUUAUCCUAUGAAUAUGUGGUUCAAAUAAAAAGUAUGUGUAGCUGUUGAAAUUUAAGUGAUAUACGCUUUAUUAGAGAUUUCCAAUGAAAUGACAUACGUACGUAACUCGACGUACGGACGUAAUGGAACGUGUUAUUGCCAACCAUCGAAUUUCAUUUAAUAUGUAGCUUAUGUUUAAAACAAAGCAUUAAAAGACUUUUAAAAUCACUAUUCCAAGACUUUUAAAAUCACACACUGGAAUAAUCGUCCAUAUACAUUUUUUAUAUCAUUGACGAAAAAUGACAGAAAUAUUACACAUUUUAUUUAUCACGUGGUUUUCCAUAUUCCCGCCUUUAUUUUACUGACAUAAGAUCACGUAUUGAUAAUGUAUCCCAUACCUAUCAUACGUACGAUUCGAGUUAUCUUUCGUGGGUUUGAUUAUGACAAUAAUUUUGCAAUAUUCUUUGCAGAUGCACGCCCCAUUAUACUUUUUUCUGUUUUUCUUUGUAGUUUAUCUAUCUUUUUAUUACAUUUAAUUUGUUGCAGGGAAAAUGUCUAGAAGGAUAUAUUUUUGACAUUUUCAUUAAUAUCGAAAGCAGCAUUUUUCAGAAUCUCUUUAAAAAGGUUGAAAAUUCAGAUAUAACUAUCGCUUCCAUAUAAUGUGUAAACAAAAUUAUUUUUCAUGGUUUUUUUUUAAACGUAUUGAUAAAAAAAUCCCUACACCUGUAAUUCUUUUUUUAAAUUAAGGUGUGUUUUUUGUUGGAUAAGAAUGAAAAACCAAAAAAUAGAGUUGAUUCAUUGAUUUUGGCCCUAAAAUAUGAAUUUUUUAUCUGCGGUGAUGUUGUGAAAACUUGAUGAAAACAUAUAGUAAAAUGGCCAAUUUUUCUGUUAUAGAAUCGGCAUAAUAAAAGUUAAAUUUCUGAAACAUUACCAGUGAUGCCAUCCCUCGCCAACAUAUUUUUACAGAUUAUAAAUUCCUACACUGCAACAAGUGUAUUACGACAUUUCUCCACUCGAGACAGUUAAAUUUUAUUAUUUAAAGCGCGAGGCUUGCCGAGCUCUUUAAAUAACUAAAAUUUAACUGUCGAGAGUGGAGAAAUAUCGUAAUACACGAGUUGUGGUGUAGGAAUCUGUAAUUUAAUGAUUUUUAUCCUCUUUUUCAAAGAUUUAUAGAAACUUGUGUUCCGGCUUUAUAUGCGACGUCACCAAGCAUGGUCGCCUUAUUUUCAUAACGUCACAAUAGGACAAUUCAGAAGAAAACAAAACAUUUAGACGUCAGAAUCAAAUUUCGACUAAUCAUUUGCCGAGAACAGAUUUUUCACUAGUGAGGAGAAAUAUUUUUCUCACACCGGUCAGGAAAUGUGAAAAUAGCACAAAAAUUAGAGAAACUAUAUAUACCCAUACUUUUUAAUUUUCCAUAUCAUUUCAAUGGGCGAAUGAAAUGUAUUUCUAUAACAGGCUAUUAUAUCUUUAAAAUAGAAGGCAAAUUCGUAAGGGCUUCCCCGGAAACCGCUGUCUCACUUGCAAUACGGCUGUCAGUGUAAAACUGUAUUAGUGACAUAAACAGGGAGUUUAUUUAUCAGUUAAUUACAGAAUCUUUAAAAAAAUCAAACUUUUUUUAGAUGCUAUAUUAUGAUGAAAACAUAUUUAACUUUAUACUUGUUUGGUUUCCUGACUACUUUGAUCUGAAUGUCACUGAUGAGUCUUAUGUAGAUAAAAGGCGCGUCUGGUGUUUUAAAUUAUAAGCCUUGUACCUUUGAUAACUAUAAGCAUGUCGAAAUGUAUUAUUGUAUUGUUUAUUUAUGUAUUUCUCUGUCCUGAAUGUUCUUGCAUUAUUUGUACUGUAAUGUUCUCUUUUUAGUGUUAUAUUUAACAUUGCUAUUAAAUGCGAGUUUUGGCUAGCCACAAAAUCAGGUUCAACCCACCAUUUUUUUUCUUGAAAUGUCCUGUACCAAGUCAGGAAAAUGGCAGUUGUUAUCUUAAAGUUUGUGUUGGUGUGUGUUACAUUGUCGUUUGCUUUUUUUGUUGCACUUUAGUGUUUCUGUUGUUUCGUUGUUUUCCUCUUAUAGUUGAUGUGUUUCCCUCGGUUAAAAUUUGUAACCCGGAUUUGUUUUCUCUCAAUCGAUUUAUUACUUUCGAACAGCGGUAUACUACUGUUUUCUUUAUUUGAUCCGUCUGUCCAGGUUUCAAAACAAUCUAUAAAGGUUUUCAAAUAAAUCAACAGAAUUCAAUUUUAGACUGCCUGUAAAUGUUUACUGUAAAAAAAGCUCCACUGGUCAGAAAUAUACUAAAAAUGAAACAAAUGUAUUUCAAAAAGUGUAGGAAGGAUGUUAUCUCAUCAUAAGACAGCUUCUACCAAACUUUCAUAACAUUGUAUGGAAGUUCGACAUUUUGAUUGAUGUGUAACAAACUUUACCCUAAUGUAUCUACUUGUUUUCUGUCAAAAUUGUUCAUUUAUCAAUAAAGUACGGGUGAAUAAAUAUAUACUUUCGAUACUGUAUUUUGGUCAUAAACAGACUUCUGUCCAAGUUGCAUAAAGUUUCACGAAGGUUUGACAAAGUUAUAUAUGUAUAAAAAAAACUUCUACCACAAAUUGAACUGCUAUAUAAACGUCUCCUGCGCGACGACGAGCCGUCGAGGGAAGUUAGAAUCAGUAUGUCUCGCUUUUGUGUCAUAAGAGACAACAACCCAACCAUAGAGCAGACAACAGCAGAAGGUCACCAACAGGUCUUCAAUGCAACGAGAAAUUCUUGCACCCGGAGACGUCCUUCAGCUGGCCCCAAAACAAAUAUAUACUAGUUCUUAGUGCGGUGACAGAAGUGUAAAAAGUCGUCUAGAUCGCGAGUUUAAUCUCCCCAAAUAACACACGGUAAAAAUGGUCUUAACUUAAAGACAAAUAUGUCUUCUUUAGUUUUUGCCCUGUCGUCAGAAUUUCGUACGGUCACUUUUUUUCUAAAAAGUCGUUUUAAUGACUGGUAGUAUAUUGGAGAGUUUCAACCCCCUUUUCAAAAUGAAAAAAUGUGUAUGUUUGCUUACAUUUAACUGAAAUAGUUUUUCUUGAAGCUAUUUUUAUAUGUCAAAAUAUUCCAUUCAGUAUUUUAUUUUCUUCUAAUCUAUAAAAUUUGCGAAGUUUAGACUAUUUAAAAUUGAGGUAAUUUUAAUUGCAAAUUCAGACUCAAACUUUAGUUUCCUCUUCAUAGUAGUAAUAAAAAUUAUCCCAUAAUAUUUUAAGCAUAUAAUAUUUAAUAAAAACUAAUCAGUGAUAAAAAUUUCGGAACCAAAAUAUGAAAAAAACCUUAAGAAAUCAAUGGAAAAAGAAUGGAGUAAAAAUCUUCAAUUUCAACACGGAACUCAAUCACUUGCCUUCCGUCACAUUUUGUGUAUUAGUCAAUAAUUUGCUCUCAAAUGAUAUAUGGAAUUACUACCUUUUUCGCAUUAUAUACACAUAUUUUCCAAUUAAAAGUGCACUGAUAUAUGCCACAUACUUUGUUUGUAUAUGUUUAUAUUCUAUGUUUUUUUUCGUUAUAAAACAUCAAAUAUACUUUGUCAGAAAAGUCUUAUUGUAAAAUCAAAAUAAUUGACGGAUAGUUUCAGUAAAUAUUCCGUGAUAUGUCAAGUCCUUUGCAACUUGCUCCAUUAAGUUCAAAGAAAAGACAAAAGUCGUUACAUUUUAUGCAGUGCUUAAUAUGCCAAAAAAAACCUCGAUUGAAAUUUUGAGUCAAUUCACCAGUUUAGGGAAGUCGAUUUUUGUAUUUGCAUUGCAUAAAAGAUUGGAUGACGUGAAUAUCAAGCUGUUUCAUGCCAAUAGCUGUUAAUUUGAAGAACUCCGUGCAGGCAGUUUAUCAUCGUUCAUGCUACAAAACUUACACAAGUAAACAUAUGUGUUCCCCCUUUUAGUGCGAGGAAGCUUCUAGUCUAAUAUUUAAUGAUGACAUACAAUUAUCUGACUGUUGUCCCUCAGUUUCGGGUAUUUGUACACGUUCUACAUGUUCUAGAAUGCAGUCGUUCAACUGGAGCGCUUGUAUAUUUUGUUGCAACAAACAUUUUAGAAAGAUAAAAAAUUACUCAAGUUUGAAUCAGAUGAGCGUAUUAAAAAAUGUUUUAUCCGUGUCAGAUAAAGUUAAAGUUGAAAUAGUUUCCCGUCCAUCCUUUAAACUUCAAUCACUCUGUCAUUUCGGUUGCAUUACAAAUUAUUUGCUAAAAACGUAAAAAAAAAAUCCAAACUCGUGGAAGCAGAUAUCUCAAAACACGAUACUGCUUUUAGUAAUUUUAUUUUGGCUAUUGACAACGAUUUAAUGGUCAUUCCUCAUGACACCGUUACUCGAUAAAUAUAGAUCAUUUCUUCCGGCUGAUUCUAAUUCAAAAUAUUCUACAUGUAAAAUGCAGUCUAAACUAAUUUAUUUCUAUAGAAAUUCAGUUGUCAAACAACUUCAACAAGUUCAAGGCAAAUAUAACAUAAUAUUUAGUAGCAAAAUAACUAUUUAAGAUGCCAUAUAAGCUUCUAGUCAAUUAAAAACUGACCUCAAAAUCUCAAUUUCAACUGUAAUAGACACAAAUAACGGACAGAUAUUUCAUUCCGCUGCAAGUUUACUUAGAAAAGACAUCGAAACUCUAAAGAAAACUACCCAACUUCGGAUGAAUUGUCUCUUCCUUCUUAAUUCAGCCAAUACCUUCGUAUUUAUUGCAAUUCAUUCUAUGGUUACUCAAUGAAAAUGCAUACAGCCAAGACUAUUCUCAGGAAAGGGCACCAGAGCAAUUGUGGAAAUGCUAAGCAAUUGAUGAGGUAAUCGUUUUUGUUUUACUCCUUUUCAUUUAGGAUUGGCUUUACAAAUGUACCAUGAGUUUGGUUCAAAACACCUUGUUGAAACAUUGAAUGCCAAUGGAUUUUAUGCUACUUAAAGUAAAGUGCGACGCUAUCUAAUGUGUUGCCAAUCAUGAAAUUGAGCGAAUUCAAGAUAGUGUGUACGUCUAGUAUAAUGUUUCUCCAGCAUCUUUGCAGACAAGCAUAUGGAUGUCAUUACACCUUCCUAAACCCCCUUUAAGAUCUCUUUUAAAAUCUUGAAUGAAUUGAUAGGGAUGGUUUGAAGCUGAUAUUUUUUUAGGAACAAAUGUCUUCGGACUUCCUACAAUACCUUGUCUGUACUUGUAAAGAAAAACUCAAAGUAACGUGUUUGCUUUGAGCAAAACCUUUCAUGUGCAGACCUGUGGCCAUGAGUGAAAUGUGUAGAAAUAUUAAAACAUGUCUUGUGACGGUUGAUGAAAAUGAAGAUGAUGGAGAUAACGGUUGAUUUGGUAUAAAGCUUGUUGCACUGGUACACACGGUUCCAGUAUCGAGGUAAAGGGGAGUGUUUGCGUGCCCUUAAAAAAGUCAAACCCCGCCAAUAUCUGUAUGUGUCUGUUUCAAGUCACGAGACGGUAAUGCAGUGUUUGUCGUUUGUUUCUAUAUCCUAUAUUUGUUUCUUUCUUAUUUAUUUUGUACAUUAAUCAGGUCGUUAGAUUUUUUGUUUGUUUUACAUUAUUCAUUUCGGGAAUUGAAGACUAUGCAGUAUGAAUUUUACUCAUUGUUGAAGCCCGUACGGGACCUAUAAUUGUUUUAUGUCUCAUUUGGUUUCAUUUGGAGAGUUGUCUCAUUUGCAAUCAUAUCACAUCUUCUUUUUUUUAUAUGGAACACUUUUGAAGUUUGGAGUACGUUGCAAGGGAAAAAAGGGGGGAUAUAGUUACAAAACCUAUAAUGUAAUAGAUAUUAACCAGAGUUGAAUACACAACAAAAGAUAAUACUAUGGUAGCAGUCAUAAUUGUGAAAAAAAACCCAAAAUCAACGAGUAGUCUAUAAAAAACACUGAAGUAUCCGCAAAUUCAAUUUGAGGUCAUAUUUGACUGUAGCGUUCUAUGGCUUUGGUUUGAUGACUCACCCACUAUGAUAGUUUAAAAAAUAAUUUUAAAGUAUUGUCUUGCAUGACACUUGAUUUUUACCUGAAAUUGAUAUUUUUCAUAAGGUUAAGGUGCUCUAAACAUUUUAAAGGUUGAAAACUUGAUUUUUGAAGUUUUGUUUAUAAAACGUCGUUUUACGAUUUUUUUGAUAAAAAAAAUCUCAAUGAUUAAGGUUUAUGUAUAAAAACAAACAUUACUAAAGCCAAAACAGUAUCAUUUGUAUAUAGGUAGAGUUUAGAAAUAGAAAAAAAUGUCAAAAUUGAAACUCUCCCAAACUUUCACAGAUUUCUACAUAUGACCUUUGACCUCAAUUUAAAAAAAAUGUGACCAUAUCAAGUCCUGACGACAGGCAUAUCAUUAUAGUACACGAUUUCCUCUUUCCAAUGAUAUAUUAUGUAGGUGUGUGUUCGGUGGGGAGAUUAAAUUCCAAAAAAUCUGCCUUCAGUCACCGCACUAUCUUUAGUUCAAAUUUGUUAUGAGGUUUCAGAGGAGAAGAUUUUUGAAACGGACCAUGGCCGACAAGGGAUGAUAAAAGCUCAUAUGACCUUUAAGCUAAACAAAUAUGUAUUGGGAAUUACUGACAGAAAUAAGGAGUUAACUGAUGAUUUCGAUAAAUUUGAAAUAAUUUUGAUUUUAACAUUAAAUCAUCCUCUUUAUAUACUUUUUUUAAUGAAACCCCAAUUUGUUACAAAUGAAAUGUUGAGGAGAAUAACUCAAAAAUGGGUUCACCAAUUUUUUCUGAAAUUUGCAAAGCAGAUUGAUCCUUAUCUUCACAUACUCAUACUUUUCAAAUGUCAGGUUUAUUUUCACUGCGUUAAAAUUUGAUGUAAGUCAAAUUUGCCGUUUUAUCUCUACGUCCUUUUUUUAAACCAAAAACCUGAUAUUUUAUAGAUGGAGCUAGAACGCGUUUAAAUUUGUGCUUAACAAAGAUACGAAUAAAGUAUGGUCACAUCAAGCAUAGUAGUUUCAGAGGAUAAGUUUAUUCUUAGUCUAUGACGAUGGCAAUGAUAACAAUAGCUCACAUGAUCGUUUUGUUCAAUUGAGUUAAAACUGUGCAUACUUUGUUUUUCAUAAUUUUGUAGUAUGUAAACUGCAGCAGAAGAUAUAUCGUGUAUGAAGAUAUUCAAAUAUAUUUUUGACUUCUCAUUUCACAUCAAACAUUAUUAUAAUUGUCGUCUCUUCAUUUGUCAAACAUUGUUAAAAAUCAGUUAGUUUACGCUGUGUAGAAAUUCAACUAUCUACACUGAAAAACUUACUAGCCAAAUGAUUUAAUUAUACAUUUCAACAACUUAUUCGGUGACACCUUUUUAAUUUUUUAUCAGAUUUUUUUUUAAGCAAUAGCAUAGUAAUCAACGAAACAAAAAUGUAGUACAGAAUUUUUGAACACCAGAGUCAACACAUUUAUUAGACCAAGGUGACCAGAGAUGACUUUUUUAACAGUCUUGACAUGUUUAUUAACAUAGUUUUAUCAUGUAUUGAUUGCCAGCAAUAAUAAGCUCUUUAACAUAUUAGAACUUAUCGUAGCUUACUUUCACUUUCAACCGGAAAUAAUGCUCUAUUAGUUGGAUGUCCUUUCUACAUUAUCUUGAAAUUGAGGUCUAGGUCAAACGUAAAUUGGAAGUCAUAACUUUUGGUCGGAAGAUAUGACAUUGAAAAGGUCAACUAAAUGUGGCUUUUUGCAAAACGGAAAUAUCCUAAUCUAUACUACUAACAUAAUUUUUAUUGAAUAACAGACAACAAAAUUACGGGCACAUGCAAUCGUAUAAUGACAAUUUCUCUAGGUCUGAUUGAUUUCAUGCUAUAGAUAGAAAAUAUAUAAACAUUGUACUUUAUCGUUUUAUCUAUAAAAAAAGGUAUUGCAACACCGAAUUGAAGUUUAAAUUAAAAAUAUAUAUAUAUAUAUAUGUAUUGUUUAGUGAUAUAAUCUAUUGAAAUAUAACUAGUUUAACAUUAUUUGAGUUUAAUACAUAAAUGUCUACUCGAUAAGUUUUUUUAUCUUCAUUGUUUUCAAAUCUUUAAAAACCCAAGUCUGUAAAGUAAUGUGAUUGACACCAUGUAAUGGGUCAUCCACAACUCACAACUUCAACAAGAUCGCAGAUUAUUGGAAUGAGAGAGGCAGAUGUGUUGCUGCGACAAAUUGCACGUAUUGUAGGUCAUCAUCAAUCCACUAUAAUUACAAGCAACAGUAGUAUACCGCUGUUCGGUUGAAAGAAAACAAAUCCGGGUUAGAAACUAAAAACGAGGGAGAUACAUCAAAUAUAAGUCGUUUUGUAAAUAAAAAUAAUGCCAAAAAUUGUUAAAGACCUACCGAGAUCAGGGACAUCCCCUUCAACAUCAGCAUAAGAAAACUAAGCAUUAUAAAGGUUUGUCAAAAGUAAACCUUUUGCAAACAGUAUAAUCAUAAAAAGAGAGUGUUUGCCAUAUAAGAGACUUUAAACAAAAAAAGUUCGAAAUCGACUCAUAGCUAUUGUACCCAAUGAUGCAGAGCACGCCAACGUUGGAAAUUAGCAUCCUGGAGGAAGAUCCAAUUGGCCAAUGCAAGUUUGUUUUGCUUCCUUGGUCUGAUCGUAAUCCGAUUUUAAACCAUAUUGAGCAUAUAUGAAUCAUUUUGUGCCGUAAAGUGUGCGAAAAGACACCCCUGUUUAAAAAUUUAAUGAAAUAAACAAUGCCUAUAAUCAGGAAUGGUUGUGGUUAACAAAGGAGUAUGUUCGGUAAGGUCCUAAAAUGGCCCCCUUUUUUAGCUUAAAUUUCAAAUUCGGAUUAAUUAACAAAUAUCACAAUAAAUUAUAGCUAAUACAGUGACAAGAUAGGAAAUAAGCCAUUUUGUUGAAAAUUUUACGUUUCUGCGUUUCAUUAUGACGUCACAAAUUGUACUCAUAUUGAUUUUGACGAAAAAUUCAAUAAAAAUGGGUAAAUUUCCAUAGAUUACUGGACAGGAAACAUAGAGCGCAUACGUCGACAACAAAGAUCUUUUAAAAUAAUGUUUGUGAAGACAUUUUAAAUGUCUUAUUUGAAUAUUAAGUUUGUCGACGCCUGCGCUCUAUGUUUCCUGGUCCUUCAUUUGGUUGAAAUCCAGCUGAUUUUGUUAAAUUUCACCAAAAUCCCUUAUCUUGACCUUUUUGGGAUGAAAAAAUCCACGUGUUAGAAUUAAACUUUGACAAAAACAGUUCUGUUUAACUUUCUCACAUGUCUUUAAGGCAUCUUAAAACAUUUAUUGUCUUGUAACUAUGAACUUUAUAAUUGGGGCCAAAUAUGGCCCUUAUCGAACUUACUCCUUUGUCGAUUGAUGUUUGGCAUGAUAAGAUGUUUAGAGUCAGUUAUCCUUGUGAAUGUAGGCUAGAUCGUAACAUUGAUGCUUUGGCUUAUAACAAUCAACUUUGAUGGGACACCCAUCUUAAGGCAAAAUUUUAAAUUUCUGACAUUCUAUUGUUCGAUUAUAGCAAAAUUUAUAAAAUGAUUUUUUUGCACAAAAAUCGCUUCAUUUUGUUAUCAAAAUUAGGGUUAAGAAAAACAUUUUUUUUCUUUAAUUUUUUAAUUUAUUUUAAUUCCAAUGUUUCAAUUCUUGUGUACAAACAUUUUAUCAAAAAAGGAGGCUGAUUUUCAAAUUCAAGGAAUUGCAAUUCCUUUUUCUAUGUUUUUUUUUUUGUUAUGCAUUAGAAACGAAGGUUCAGUACUUUAUUAUUUUAUUAACAUAUUUUAACAUUUUGAAAUCGGCAAAUAGUUUGUACAUAGGUUAAUAUAUACAUUUUUGUAUGUGGAUUUACUAGUGAGGUAAAUUGCUACAGUCAUUAUAGGCACGUUUCUUAUCCAUCCCAAAUUUAUUUAUUUAGUUUUGAUGUUAUAUUUGUUAUUGUCAUCGGAUAUUGUCAAAUGUCUUAACGUUUGUAGUUAUAUCUUAUGUUUUUUUUUUCUGUUGUAUUCAUGUGUUAUGGUAAAGAUAAUUAAUUAUCCAGUUUAUUUAUAAGAUUUUAGUUUGGAUAUUUACACGAUAUAUUUGGUUUACAGUUUGAUUCAGAAAAGACACUGACAUAGCUAGAUAAUACAAUUAAUUAUCUAAUUACUUCUAGAAUUUGAUAUUAAUUAGUAUUGUAAUUUUCACUGUUAUUAAUAAAUGAAAGAUAAGUCAUACAAAUCUAAUCUUGAAUUUCAUCCAAAUUCUAUCUUAAUUUUGGGAAAUCGUUUUAGAAAUUCAAAUGUGAUGUCACUUUGUACUGUGUGCGUUUCACUGACUUUGGCUAACACUGCUGUGUAUUUUUGUAAUGUAUCCGUUUUUAUUCUGUAGCUAUUCACCACUUCAGUUUAAUCAUGUAUAUCUAUUAUAUAGUCAUUUUUAAACAAAAUACUGCUUCCAAAGUAUGAAUUACAACUUUUUGGAACUUUUGGUGCUCAGUGCUCUUCAGCUUUGUACUUGUUUUGGCUUUCAAACGUUUUCUCUCUGAAGUGUGAAUUAUUCUAAAUAAGAAGGAUGUUCUUGUCCCAGGCGGAUAACCCUGGCCGUAUUGUUCACAACAUUUUGGAACUUUUGGUCCUCGGUAAUCUUCAACUAAGUACUUGUUUUUUCUUUCGAACGUUGUACUGAGUCAGGAAAAUGUCCAUUGUUAUAUUACAGUUCGUUUCUGUGGGUGUUACAUUUUAAUGUUGUGUUUCUAUUGUGUCGUAGUUCUCUUAUAUUUGAUACGUUUCCCUCAAUUUAAGUUUUUAACCAGAAAUUGGUUUUUUUCUUUCGAUUGAUGAAUUUCGAACAGCGUUAUACUACUGUUGCCUUUUUUUAGUCUACGCCAAAUGUAGAUAUGUGGGGAAGUUCUUCAGGCUGAUGUUUAAAAAGCGAAAGAAUCACACCAGAAUAAAAUAAACUUGUUUUAUUUACCAAAUAUUUUAUUUACCAAAAAUAUCAAGUAUCGUCAGAAGCAGUAAAAUGUCUGCUCAAAGUGAUCUUUGUACAUGCCGUGUACACACUUAUCAACUGUACAAGUCAGCUCUGAUUGUUGGAAUUUAUUGUUGAAGAUGAAUUAAGAUUAAAACUAUUUAUCUUAAAAGGUGUCCUUUUCAUAGGUUAAACCAAACAAUCGCCAAAAUAUUCAGUUUCUUUAAUUUUAGUUUUAUUUUUACUUUCAGAUUAUGUACAAGGAAAUAUAAUUUAUGUAAAUGAAAAUUCAACAGCUGUGAUACGUUGUCCAUUCAAGGCAGAUUUGGGUUUUAAAAUAAGUUGGCAUGGUCCACCAUCGUUACAAAUAUAUACACAAGGCGAAGCGGUAAAUACAAACGUACUACAGAGUGACAGACUAAGUGUUGUUGGUCAAUUUAAGGAAGGG